AAAAUCUUAAGUUAAAAAAACUAGAGGCUUUCCAAGCCUAAAAUAGGAGAACCUAGAUUUUA
rnacentral:tRNA from 1 species